UCAGCAGCCGUCGCCCUUCCGCACUAGAGCUCUGCUAGGGUUUGUUCUUGUCUCGAACCAGUUCGUCCCGACUAACGAUUCCUGCUCCACUUCCUAGGUCCAUCACUCGAGCUGCUGUGCUCCAAGGUCCCGCGUCGAAGUUCUGUUAGCCGCUUUCCAGAUGGGCGAGGUCCUCGUGGUCAGCAAGGAAAUGGAGAUUCUGCCGCUUAGUCCGCGUGGAUUGGAGUAUAUUCGUUGUUGUACUUUUCUUUAGGGCUAUGGCCCUGUAUGUCGUUGUUCUUGGUUUUGUAAACUUUCGGUCGAACCGUUAUUCUGUUUUGGUUGGCAUCGCGUUAUGCCUAGUUGUAGAGGUAGCUUUAUGAACCCCGGGACUGCAUUGUUGAUUA